CAGCCGCCGCGGUAAUACCGGCGGCCCGAGUGGCGGCCACUAUUAUUGGGCCUAAAGCGUCCGUAGCCGGGCUGGUAAGUCCUCCGGGAAAUCUGGUCGCUUAACGAUCAGACUUCCGGAGGAUACUGCUGGCCUAGGGACCGGGAGAGGCCGAGGGUAUUCCCGGGGGAGGGGUGAAAUCCUGUAAUCCCGGGAGGACCACCUGUGGCGAAGGCGCUCGGCUGGAACGGGUCCGACGGUGAGGGACGAAGGCCAGGGGAGCGAACCGGAUUAGAUACCCGGGUAGUCCUGGCUGUAAACGAUGCGGACUAGGUGUCGGGCAAGCUAAGGGCUUGUCCGGUGCCGCAGGGAAGCCGUUAAGUCCGCCGCCUGGGGAGUACGGCCGCAAGGCUGAAACUUAAAGGAAUUGGCGGG
rnacentral:rRNA from 1 species